AUUGAACGCUGGCGGCAGGCUUAACACAUGCAAGUCGAGCGAGCGGCGGACGGGGGAGUAAUGUCUGGGAAACUGCCUGAUGGAGGGGGAUAACUACUGGAAACGGUCGCUACUACCGUAUACCAUCAGAUGUGCCCAGGUGGGAUUAGCUAGUAGGUGGGGUAAUGGCUAACGUAGGCGACGAUCCCUAGCUGGUAGGAGAGGAUGACCAGCAACACUGGAACUGAGAAACGGUCCAGACUCCUACGUGAGGCAGCAGUGGGGAAUAUUGCACAAUGGGCGCAAGCCUGAUGCAGCCACGCCGCGUGUGUGAAGAAGGCCUUCGGGUUGUAAAGCACUUUCAGCGAGGAGGCGUUACUCGCAGAAGAAGCACCGGCUAACUCCGUGCCAGCAGCCGCGGUAAUAC
rnacentral:rRNA from 1 species